rnacentral:rRNA from 1 species
GGGUAGUCCUGGCCGUAAACGCUGCCCGUUAGGUGUUGCACUCCCUACGAGGGUGUGCAGUGCCGUAGCGAAGGCGUUAAACGGGCCGCCUGGGGAGUACGGUCGCAAGGCUGAAACUUAAAGGAAUAGGCGGGGGAGCACAACAAGGGGGGAAUGUGUGCGGUUUAAUCGGAUUCAACUCCGAGAACCUCACCAGGAACGACAGCUGGAUGAAGGUCAGUCUGAAGGGCUUACCUAACUCGCUGAGAGGUGUUGCAUGGCCGUCGUCAGCUCGUGCCGUGAGGUGUUGGCUUAAGUGCCAAAACGAGCAAGACCCUCGCCCUUAGUUGCUACUCCUUCCUUCGGGGAGGAGGCACACUAAGGGGACUGCCCGCGUAAGUGGGAGGAAGGUGAGGGCGACGAUAGGUCUGUAUGGCCCGAAUUUCCUGGGCUACACGCGCACUGCAAUGGCUGGGGACAAAGGGGAUGCGACCCCGAGAGGGGGAAGCAAAUCUCAUAAACCCAGUCUCAGUUCGGAUCGAGGAUUGCAACCCAUCC